CUAGCUCUAGAACUAUAGCCCUUGCGCUCCGCCGCAGGGCCAUAGUUCUAGAGCUACGUUUAUUUUAGCUAUUGCGACGACUCCUCCGGCUCCUCAGUGUAUGCUGUUCGGCCCGUCCUUCGAAGUCCUGUACCAAGCUCGUGGCCGAAGAUCGACUCGUGAAGCAAGACCCAAGCUGACGAGCCACUGGCUCAAUUUCAUCCACGCUCACGGUGUAAUAUUCGAUCACGGCUUUGUUCUCUCCGAGCCUGAACCCCCGUGCCCGACCCGCCCCCCAACAGGUACCAUCAAUCCAUAGUCUUGUUCAUCCUUUCGGUGGUUUCAUCAUCAGUAGAGUGUUGUUGUCAUUGUUCUGCCAACAAGAUAUCAAAGAAUUCAGGAUUGUGGCAAGACACAGCAGCCAUGGCCAUAGCAACUGUCCACAUAUGCUGCCACAGGUCUGUAGUGGAAAAUAUGUAGAGCAAGUCUCAGAACACUUGUGAGCAGAUCCUGGUGAGUGGGUAGAAGGAUCAUGACACGCAUGCAGCCUGUACUGAUUGAAAGCUGAGUCACCAUAGAUGGCCUUGAUGAAGCGCUUUAUCCUGUCGACCAGGCAUGUGGAAAUGUCCCAACCAGUGAGUCACCAUAGAAGAUGCAUUUAUUUUGCAUGUUGACAUGGCACAUCGUCCAGUGAAAUCCUGGUUGUGCGUCUCUCCCAAGGUAAACCUGGCCGUUCUCAUGUCCUACGUUUACAAGAAACGCCAGGGAUUUGGGCAUUUUACCUCUUGAGAGGAUUCUCCUAUGUACCAUUCUUUCAAUGUUAGUAAUGUUGUUUAUGUAUGCGCAAAAUACUUGUUCCUGUUCAUUGUUUAACUUGUUGACUAACCAUGUCAUAUGGUCAUCAGAGAGCCAACGAUUACCACAAACCUUUGAAAGUUCUCCUGCUGUCAUGUUGAAGUUCUCGAGAAUAGCAUCGUAUCUCUCUGAGUAUAGCAGCUCCUGGAACUGCUUUAGACUAUCAACUGGAGGAUACUCAAGAACAGUUGGUGGUGGUGAAAUGGUCUUCUGAAACCA